rnacentral:rRNA from 1 species
GGGUUGUGAGGUUAAGUGACUAAGCGUACACGGUGGAUGCCUAGGCAGUCAGAGGCGAUGAAGGGCGUGCUAAUCUGCGAAAAGCGUCGGUAAGGUGAUAUGAACCGUUACAACCGGCGAUACCCGAAUGGGGAAACCCAGUGUGUUUCGACACACUAUCAUGUCAUGAAUACAUAGUGGCAUGAGGCGAACCGGGGGAACUGAAACAUCUAAGUACCCCGAGGAAAAGAAAUCAACCGAGAUUCCCCCAGUAGCGGCGAGCGAACGGGAGGAGCCCAGAACCUGAAUCGGCUUGUGUGUUAGUGGAAGCGUCUGGAAAGUCGCGCAGCAAAGGGUGAUAGCCCCGUACACUAAAAUGCACAGGUCGUGAGUUCGAUGAGUAGGGCGGGACACGUGACAUCCUGUCUGAAUAUGGGGGGACCAUCCUCCAAGGCUAAAUACUCCUGACUGACCGAUAGUGAACCAGUACCGUGAGGGAAAGGCGAAAAGAACCCCGGCGAGGGGAGUGAAAUAGAACCUGAAACCGUGUACGUACAAGCAGUGGGAGCACCUUCGUGGUGUGACUGCGUACCUUUUGUAUAAUGGGUCAGCGACUUAUAUUUUGUAGCAAGGUUAACCGUAUAGGGGAGCCGUAGGGAAACCGAGUCUUAACUGGGCGAAUAGUUGCAAGGUAUAGACCCGAAACCCGGUGAUCUAGCCAUGGGCAGGUUGAAGGUUGGGUAACACUAACUGGAGGACCGAACCGACUAAUGUUGAAAAAUUAGCGGAUGACUUGUGGCUGGGGGUGAAAGGCCAAUCAAACCGGGAGAUAGCUGGUUCUCCCGAAAGCUAUUUAGGUAGCGCCUCGUGAACUCAUCUUCGGGGUAGAGCACUGUUUCGGCUAGGGGCCAUCCCGGCUUACCAAACCGAUGCAAACUCCGAAUACCGAAGAAUGUUAUCACGGGAGACACACGGCGGGUGCUAACGUCCGUCGUGAAGAGGAAACAACCCAGACCGCCAGCUAAGGUCCCAAAGUCAUGGUUAAGUGGGAAACGAUGUGGGAAGGCACAGACAGCCAGGAUGUUGGCUUAGAAGCAGCCAUCAUUUAAAGAAAGCGUAAUAGCUCACUGGUCGAGUCGGCCUGCGCGGAAGAUGUAACGGGGCUAAACCAUGCACCGAAGCUGCGGCAGCGACGCUUAGGCGUUGUUGGGUAGGGGAGCGUUCUGUAAGCCGUUGAAGGUGGCCUGUGAGGGUUGCUGGAGGUAUCAGAAGUGCGAAUGCUGACAUAAGUAACGAUAAAGCGGGUGAAAAGCCCGCUCGCCGGAAGACCAAGGGUUCCUGUCCAACGUUAAUCGGGGCAGGGUGAGUCGACCCCUAAGGCGAGGCUGAAAAGCGUAGUCGAUGGGAAACAGGUUAAUAUUCCUGUACUUGGUGUUACUGCGAAGGGGGGACGGAGAAGGCUAGGCUGGCCGGGCGACGGUUGUCCCGGUUUAAGCGUGUAGGGGGUGUGACCUGGUAAAUCCGGUUGCAUAUCAACCCUGAGGCGUGAUGACGAUGCACUACGGUGCAGAAGUAGUUGAUGCCCUGCUUCCAGGAAAAUCCUCUAAGCUCCAGGUAACAUUAAAUCGUACCCCAAACCGACACAGGUGGUCAGGUAGAGAAUACCAAGGCGCUUGAGAGAACUCGGGUGAAGGAACUAGGCAAAAUGGUGCCGUAACUUCGGGAGAAGGCACGCUGGCAUGUAGGUGAAGUCCUUGCGGAUGGAGCUGAAGCCAGUCGAAGAUACCAGCUGGCUGCAACUGUUUAAUAAAAACACAGCACUGUGCAAACACGAAAGUGGACGUAUACGGUGUGACGCCUGCCCGGUGCUGGAAGGUUAAUUGAUGGGGUCAGCCGCAAGGCGAAGCUCUUGAUCGAAGCCCCAGUAAACGGCGGCCGUAACUAUAACGGUCCUAAGGUAGCGAAAUUCCUUGUCGGGUAAGUUCCGACCUGCACGAAUGGCGUAAUGAUGGCCAGGCUGUCUCCACCCGAGACUCAGUGAAAUUGAACUCGCUGUGAAGAUGCAGUGUACCCGCGGCAAGACGGAAAGACCCCGUGAACCUUUACUAUAGCUUGACACUGAACAUUGAGCCUUGAUGUGUAGGAUAGGUGGGAGGCUUUGAAGCGUGGACGCCAGUCUGCGUGGAGCCAUCCUUGAAAUACCACCCUUUAAUGUUUGAUGUUCUAACUCUGCCCCGUGAUCCGGGGUGAGGACAGUGUCUGGUGGGUAGUUUGACUGGGGCGGUCUCCUCCCAAAGAGUAACGGAGGAGCACGAAGGUUAGCUAAUCACGGUCGGACAUCGUGAGGUUAGUGCAAAGGCAUAAGCUAGCUUGACUGCGAGAGUGACGGCUCGAGCAGGUACGAAAGUAGGUCUUAGUGAUCCGGUGGUUCUGAAUGGAAGGGCCAUCGCUCAACGGAUAAAAGGUACUCCGGGGAUAACAGGCUGAUACCGCCCAAGAGUUCAUAUCGACGGCGGUGUUUGGCACCUCGAUGUCGGCUCAUCACAUCCUGGGGCUGAAGUAGGUCCCAAGGGUAUGGCUGUUCGCCAUUUAAAGUGGUACGCGAGCUGGGUUUAGAACGUCGUGAGACAGUUCGGUCCCUAUCUGCCGUGGGCGUUGGAAGAUUGAGAGGGGUUGCUCCUAGUACGAGAGGACCGGAGUGAACGCACCACUGGUGUUCGGGUUGUCAUGCCAAUGGCAUUGCCCGGUAGCUAAGUGCGGAAAAGAUAAGCGCUGAAAGCAUCUAAGCGCGAAACUUGCCUCAAGAUGAGUCUUCCCUGGGCCUUUAAGGCCCCUGAAGGAACGUUUAAGACUAAGACGUUGAUAGGCUGGGUGUGUAAGUGCAGCGAUGCAUUGAGCUAACCAGUACUAAUGAUCCGUGAGGCUUAACCUUACAACACCGAAGGUGUUUUAG